rnacentral:lncRNA from 1 species
GUGAGUAGGGUUGUUUGGGGGAGAGUUAGUAUUAGUCCUUACCUGACACCUGAAGGCAAUAUUGUCUGUCCUUGUGGGAGUUGAUAAUUCCUCCAGGCACUGGUCAGCUACCUAAACGGGAGUGCUGUGUGCAUGGGAAAAAUCAAAGGACUCGCAGGGACUUCAACCCAGUUAAAACAGGAUCCUUGGAUUCACCACAGGAAAGAAUCUCUGGGCAGCACAGUAUGAAGCAGAGUUGGGGGUCUAUUAAGAGACGGUAUUUGUUUUGUUGUUUAUUUAUUUAUUUAUUUAUUUUUGAGACAGUGUCUAUAACUGGACCUGGGGGCUACCAAAUUGGCUAGGCUUGCUGGCCAGCAAGCUUCACUGAUGUUCCUGUCUUGGCUCUCUGCCCUCACCAGCACCAGGGUUUACAGGCAUGGACAACCAUGCUUGACUUUGGCUGACUUCAGG